rnacentral:rRNA from 1 species
UACGUAGGGUGCAAGCGUCGUCCGGAAUUAUUGGGCGUAAAGAGCUCGUAGGCGGUUUGUCGCGUCGAAUGUGAAAACCCGGGGCUCAACCCCGGGCCUGCAUUCGAUACGGGCAGACUAGAGUUCGGUAGGGGAGUCUGGAAUUCCUGGUGUAGCGGUGAAAUGCGCAGAUAUCAGGAGGAACACCGGUGGCGAAGGCGGGACUCUGGGCCGAUACUGACGCUGAGGAGCGAAAGCGUGGGAAGCAAACAGG